UCUCGACCAAAAAAAAAGUGAUGAAUUGAUAUAUCUUUAUAUGAUAGAAAAGUUGUUUCCAAAAGACUCUCGACCAAAAAAAAAGUGAUGAAGAAGGGAAAAUUGUAUAUAUACUUACUAGGAUUAUAUGUAAGAGUUCUUGGAUAUGGAAAUAAAAUGAGUGAAAAUUCCACUUAAAUAAUAAGAGGAGUUUCUGCUGAAAGAGUGUAAGGUAUAAAGGGAAUGAACAAAUAAAUUCUGGUAAACUUUAUUUUAUUUUAUUUUUUAUGUUAAAGACUCACUAUAGUACUCUUUAUAUUGGAGGAAUUUGGGUAGAAAGCAA
rnacentral:lncRNA from 1 species